rnacentral:rRNA from 1 species
GUGGGGAAUUUUGGACAAUGGGCGAAAGCCUGAUCCAGCAAUGCCGCGUGCAGGAAGAAGGCGCUACGCGUUGUAAACUGCUUUUAACCGGGAAGAAACCCCAGGACGUGUCCUGGGUUGACGGUACCGGAGGAAUAAGCACCGGCUAACUUCGUGCCAGCAGCCGCGGUAAUACGAAGGGUGCAAGCGUUAUCCGGAUUCAUUGGGUUUAAAGGGUGCGUAGGCGGAGCGUUAAGUCAGUGGUGAAAUCCUGCAGCUUAACUGUAGACUUGCCAUUGAUACUGGCGCUCUUGAGUGCGCUUGAAGUGGGCGGAAUGUGACGUGUAGCGGUGAAAUGCUUAGAUAUGGCACAGAACACCAAUUGCGAAGGCAGCUCACUAAGGCGAUACUGACGCUGAGGCACGAAAGCGUGGGGAUCGAACAGGAUUAGAAACCCGAGUAGUCC